AAAAACAAAUCAAAUUAUUUUCUCUGUAACAGAUUAGGAUUAUAUAAAGAGAGAGAGCGAGAGAGAGAGAGAGAGAAUAAAAACAUCAAAUAAUAAUAGGCCUAAUAUUAGUUUUGAAUUCAUAAUCAUUGAAUGAAAUUGUGUUUCAUUUGUGUGAAUCCAAUAUUUGCAACAAUGCUUUGAAAUCAGGAAUGUAAUAAUUAGAUUUUUUUUUUAAUAAACAAUCAAAAACUGAAGAAAUAAAAAGAUGGACAAACCGUUAUAAUUGUCAGGAUUUUUCGGAAAUCUGUAUCUUUCGAUUUGUAUUUAAUAGACUAAAAUGACAUCAAUUACCGUCCAUAUCUUUACAUGGGGAUAUAAAUAAUUAUCAGCAGCAGUCUCAGAUAUCCUGGGAAAACUCUAUACCGAACCAUUAAAUCAUUUGUGGGGAUCGAAUCAAUCCGCACUGCAAUCUCUCUAACAUCUAUAUUUUAUCAUUGAAAACGCAGAUUACAUAAAAACGUUGAUAGCUGUAAGGAAAGGGUUUAUAUAAUUUCAUCCAAGAGCUCUCGCUGUAUUAUCUCACCAGAUAAGGACGGUCAGUGAUAAAGUCAGGAAACCUCUUCUCCAAGUGAUUUGAUUGAAUAUCGCCGUGGAAGUUCCCAGUCUCUUCUUUCUUCUUGAUUUUAGCCCAGAAUCCAAACCUCAACGAGUCUGCGAAGCACGAAAAACUUGUAGCUGUCCUCUCCGCGCUUGGACGUGUCACCGUGCCUUGUCUAUAUCUGGAGAUAGCUGCUGCUGCUGAUAAUGCCUAAUAUAACUGUUCUCUGAUUUGCUCUCUACUUUACUGCGAGUUAUUUGUAAGAGCAGAACCACGUGACGCACUCCAAAGGCCUCCACAGAAGCCCAUAUCAACCAAAUGUGGAAUAGUGAUGACAACAACAAGAGCUCAACAUUCAUCAUUCAAAGUGAUAUUCUAUGAAAGAAUAAAAUAUCCAGAACUAAUUUUACAAAUAAACACAAUAUUGUGAAAUAUUAUUACAAUUUAAAAUAACUGUUUUCUAUUUGAAUAUAUUUUAAAAUGUGAUUAAUUUUUGUUAUAAAGCUGAAUUUUCAGCAUCAUUACGCCAGUCUUCAGAGUCACAUGAUCCUUCGGAAAUCAUUCUAAUAUGUUGAUUUGCUGCUUUAUAAACAUU
rnacentral:lncRNA from 12 species